GCAUUGGCAAUUCAGCGGUAGAAUUCUAGUCUUCCCUGCAGGAGACCUGGGUUCAAUUCCUCACCAAUGCA
rnacentral:tRNA from 1 species